AGCUCAUUUCCCCAGGAAGACAUACCUGAUGAAAGGAGGGAGACCUCUUUUGCGCUAAUAACACGCUGGCCUCAUCCAACUCCCUGCAUCUUUAAUUAAUGUUUACAAAGCACUUUAAUCUACCCAACAAGCUAGUUAAUUAGGCCAGUAUUAUUAUCCCUCUCUUUCUGAACCAAAUCCAGGAAAGAAUCAAUACUGUCAGUCCUUAAUCCUCCAUGAAUAAUGGUCUAAACUUUCCGCUGUUUAUGUUUUUUUUAUUCCCAAAUUGUGUCCCAUAUUGUGUUAUAUACUAAUGCAUUUAGCAUGAAUGGGCUUACUACAAGUUAAAGAGUAUUAAACACCCGUGGGUGAGGGAGGUAAAAUAAGCAACCCUUGUCUUUAAGGAUUUCAGGUAAAGAAAAAGACGUUUUGUCAAGGGCUUCUCAGAAUUUUUUUUCUUUUUAUUAAUGCGCUUUUGGCUUGGUUGGGUUUUCAUGACGUGUAAUUAAUUUUUAAAGUUUACUUAAAAUUUCUGAGUCACACGGUAUCUUUUGUGUAAAAGUUAAAUUUUACUCAGUAUCUUUUCUGACAGGUGAAGAAGAGGUAAGAAGGAAGAAAUGGAUGGAAGGAAUUAGGAAGGAAGAAGGAGAAAAGAAAAAGACAAGCAAACAAAUGACCUCCAAACACCACCACCACCACCACCACCACCACCACCACCACCACCACCAAAAAACAGACAAAGAAUGAACCAGGAAGAAAAUGAGACAGGUUUCAACCAGGUGUCUCACACCCCGGAGCUCUGUGGGGAUUACAAACAGAGAACAGUGGCUUCUGUCUACAAGGAGGCAGUGACUCCCCAGAAGAGACGCCUGACUGAAUAUCUGUGGAAAGCAUCCAGGCACCAGACUCCUGAAGAGCAGUGCUACCCUCCUUCAGGUACCUUCACUGCUCUGAACCAACCAGGCUGGCCCUGAGCAGGAACCAUGAUCCUGAUGGCGUUAGCUAUAUCAUCCCGCUCAGGCCCCCACAACAAUAUACCUCAUAACCGGGUGCCUUAAGCAACAGAAAGCUAUUUUCCCACGAUUCUGAAAGCUGGAGGUCCAAGAUCAAGGUGUUGGCAGGUUUUGUUUCUUCAGCAGUCUUUUUCACUCCUUGGCUUUGGACAGCUGUCUCCUCCCCAUUCCUCCCCCUGGUCUUCCCUCUUCACCUGUCUGUGUCCUAAUCUCCUCUUCUGGAAAGGACACCAGUCAUGUUGGAUUAGGGCCCAUUAUAGGACCUUAUUUAUUAUUAGUUUUUUAAAUCAAAUUACAUCUUUAAAGGCCCUGUCUCCACAGACAGUCACAUUCCGAGGUCCUAGGAGUUAGGACCCCAACAUUCGAAUUUGAGAUGUUGAUGUAAACAGAGGGACAGGUGCCACAUACGGUUGUAACUUACUUGGCAAGGCUGGAAGAAGGGAAGAGUGUACAAAGAGUGUUUUGAAGAGGAAAGGAGGAUUACAGUUAUUUAGUUAGCAUUUAUUACGUGUGGGCCAUGUCCUAGAAGCUCUGCUUAGCCUCACUUGGGCCUCCUUGAACCUCAAAUAGCCACCUUCUAAGGAGAGUUCUCUUCACCUUCUUGUGUAGUGUCCUCUUUGAUUUUUAAAUCUUACUCUGAUCGGUGGUGGUUGAGGCUGUUAAAGAACUUAACCUCCAAACGUUCAAACUCAUUUAGAAGUUCGGCUCUUCUCUUGAGUUCCUGACCCAUGGUAAAAACGUGUAUAAGCCUGUCAGCUGAGUCCUAAAUUAUUUCCCUGAAACGCCAUGAAAUACCCUGCAGCUUCUCCAAAGGACGGCCUGGUCCCACCUGAAUAUGAUGGAACCGCAGGUUGGCGCGGUCAGUUGUGCAAGGGGGAAGCUCGGGGUUGUGGGUGGGCCAGUGUUGCGGGGUGGGGCGAGCGUGCGAGAGAGCUCUGCGCCGGUUCUGAUUCAAUGACUA
rnacentral:lncRNA from 12 species